rnacentral:rRNA from 1 species
GAUCAUGGCUCAGGAUGAACGCUAGCUACAGGCUUAACACAUGCAAGUCGAGGGGCAGCAUGGACCCAGCUUUGCUGGGUUUGAUGGCGACCGGCGCACGGGUGAGUAACGCGUAUCCAACCUGCCCUUUACUCCGGGAUAGUCUCCUGAAAGGGAGUUUAAUACCGGAUGUGUUGUCUUUCCGUCCAUGGGAGGCGACAAAUAAAAGAAUUAAUUAGGUUAAAGGAAGUGGGAGUGCGUCCCACCUAGCUUGUUGGG